rnacentral:rRNA from 1 species
UACAGAGGGUGCGAGCGUUGUUCGGAAUUACUGGGCGUAAAGAGCGCGCAGGCGGUCGAUCAAGUCGCGUGUGAAAGCCCCCGGCUCAACUGGGGAGGGUCACGCGAUACUGAUCGACUCGAAGGCAGGAGAGGGUAGUGGAAUUCCCGGUGUAGUGGUGAAAUGCGUAGAUAUCGGGAGGAACACCAGUGGCGAAGGCGACUACCUGGCCUGUUUCUUGACGCUGAGGCGCGAAAGCUAGGGGAGCAAACGGG